rnacentral:rRNA from 1 species
UGGCUCAGAUUGAAGCUGGCGGAAUGCUUUACACAUGCAAGUCGAACGGUAGAGGGGGCAACCCUCGAGAGUGGCGAACGGGUGAGUAAUAUAUCGGAACGUGCCCAGUCGUGGGGGAUAACGUAGCGAAAGUUACGCUAAUACCGCAUACGGAUCCAAGGAUGAAAGCGGGGGACUCGCAAGAGCCUCGCGCGAUUGGAGCGGCCGAUAUCAGAUUAGGUAGUUGGUGGGGUAAAGGCUCACCAAGCCAACGAUCUGUAGCUGGUCUGAGAGGACGACCAGCCACACUGGAACUGAGACACGGUCCAGACUCCUACGGGAGGCAGCAGUGGGGAAUUUUGGACAAUGGGCGCAAGCCUGAACCAGCCAUGCCGCGUGCAGGAAGACGGUCCUAUGGAUUGUAAACUGCUUUUAUACAGGAAGAAACAACGCUACGUGUAGCGUCUUGACGGUACUGUAGGAAUAAGGAUCGGCUAACUCCGUG